UUAAUUGAAACCAAAUUAGAGGUAUAUCAUUGUUAAUGAUACCAUUGAAUUAAAUUCCAAUUAAA
rnacentral:tRNA from 1 species